rnacentral:misc_RNA from 1 species
GAUGAAGAACGUAGCGAAAUGCGAUAAGUAAUGUGAAUUGCAGAAUUCAGUGAAUCAUCGAAUCUUUGAACGCACAUUGCGCCCGCCAGUAUUCUGGCGGGCAUGCCUGUUCGAGCGUCAUUUCAACCCUCAGGACCCUUUGGACCUGGUGUUGGGGCUCGGCCGCUACCCCGCGGCCGUCCCCGAAAGAUAGUGGCGGUCUCGCUGUAGCGUCCUCUGCGUAGUAAUUACACCUCGCACUGGAACGCGGCGCGGCCACGCCGUUACACACCCCACUUCUCAAGGUUGACCUCGGAUCAGGUAGGAAUACCCGCUGAACUUAAGCAUAUCAAUAAGCGGAGGA